rnacentral:lncRNA from 1 species
CCCAUAAUUCCAACGAGUUGGUUCUCCACUCCCUUCAGCAAACCACCAUGGAUACCUCGAGCUCGAGCUUCUUCGUGUUGCUUUCUCUCCUUCCUGCUGUAAUCCUCCACGAACCACACAAGAUUGAGCCCACACAUGUGUUGAUGUGCAACCACACAGUGCUGUGAACCGGUGUUUGCUGCGACCUGUGACGGUGGGUGACCACGACCGGUGAGUGUCUCAGGUACGGCAACCAGAUGCUGGGACGAGCGCCUAGUUUUUGCUACCAGCAAUGUUUUUGGUUUUGCCCAAAUUUUACAUUUUUGCUACCACCGUUUUUUGGUUUGCUGGAACCAGCACAAAUUUUUGCUACCAUCGACGUUUUGGUUUUGCUGGUACCGACGCCAAAUUUUGUAUUUUGCUACAACCAGUGUUUUGGUUUGCUGGAGACAACCCCAAUUUUUGCUACCAUGAGGCGUUUUGGUUUUGCUGGUACCGACGCCAAAUUUUGCAAUUUGCUACAACCGGUGUUUUGGUUUGCUGGAGCCAGCCCCAAUUUUUGCAACAACUGCCGCUUUUGCUUUGCUGGAAAGAACGCGCAAUUUUGCAUUUUUGCUUCAAAUGGCGUUUUGGUUUGCUGGAACCAGCUUUAAUUUUUUGCUUUCGCCGGUGUUUCGAUUUUUGCUAGAACAUCGCCCAAUUUGCGAUUUUUGCUUCCACUGUUUUUGGUUUUGCUGGAACUAGCACAAAAAUUUGCUACUACCGCUGUUGGCUGCGAGCCAUGGCGUCGUCGCCAUUGAAUCUGCAGGGGCGAGGGGAGGUAGCACCGUUGAGGGGCGAGCGUUGGCUAGCCAUGGUUUUGUGCUGCUGAGCUUUUUUCUUGGAACCAUCAUCUAAUUGUGCUGGAACCGACUUUUUAUUAUGCUUCAAUCGAGCACCACAGACUUUGUUGUUGUUUUAUACUCACUCCGUUCCAAAAUAGAUGACUCAAUUUUAUACUAACUUAGUACAAAGUUGUACAAGUCGAUAACGGCGGGAGUAUUAGUUUUGCUGGACAUGGUGGACAAGUCGAUAACGGCGGCGAGCCGGAGAUGAGGGAACAUCGAGGAUGCUGCAAAUCAUGGUGACCGCACGCUGGAACCCGUCCAUGUUCGAUCUGCAGGCUGCAGCCAUGGCUAGCGAAGGCGGCCAUGGCGAGCGGAGGCACGAGCGGCCGGCUAGCACGGGCGGCCGGCGUGGUGGCACAGGUGGCAAGAAAGCAUGGGAAGCCGACGACAAGCGCGUGCUGCCGCCUGACGGCAAGCGCGCGGGUGCCCGGCGAGCGUGCGAGAUCCGGCAUGUGCGCACGAGUGCCUUCUUUUCUGUUUUCUUCAUGCGUGCUUAAAUUUGGCCCGGUGCGCCGGUGCCUAGCACUCGCCAAUCUUUUAGGCGGAGUAAAAGAAACCCGUAUUUAUUAACGAGGUGGAGGUGCGCUCCGGGCGUCAAAUUGUAUUUCAGGCUGAGGUUAGAUGCAGAUACAACAUGAAUUCCAAAGCCUUGCGAUCCAUAGAAGCUAGAGAAGCUACUUCCCAGUUCCAAAAUAAUGACCAAGUUCUAGAAAAAAGUAUCAAUAUCUACAAUACAUUAGAUUCAUCGUAAAAAGUACUUUUAUACAUUUUCUGAUAAAGGAUGCGUUUAUUGACUCGUAACAUAAUGUAGCAUUGAGAGAUACAAAUCAAGUAUACAUCCAGCACUGGAGAUACAAAUCAAGUAUACAUCCAACACU